UACAGAGGGUGCGAGCGUUUAAUCGGAAUUACUGGGCGUAAAGCGUGCGUAGACGGUAGCGUAAGUCAGAUGUGAAAGCCCCGGGCUCAACCUGGGAAUUGCAUUUGAGACUGCUCUGCUCGGGUGCGGAAGAGGGAAGCGGAAUUUCCGGUGUAGCGGUGAAAUGCGUAGAUAUCGGGAGGAACGACCGGUGGCGAAGGCGGUUCUCUGGGCCUUACCUGGACGCUGAGGAGCGAAAGCGUGGGGAGCAAACAGG
rnacentral:rRNA from 1 species